GACGAACGCUGGCGGCGUGCCUAAUACAUGCAAGUCGAACGAAGCUGUUUUAACUGGUGCUUGCACCGACUUAAACAACUGAGUGGCGAACGGGUGAGUAACACGUGGGUAACCUGCCCCAAAGCGGGGGAUAACAUUUGGAAACAGAUGCUAAUACCGCAUAACCACAGAAACCACAUGGUUUCUGUGUCAAAGAUGGUUUCGGCUAUCACUUUGGGAUGGACCCGCGGCGUAUUAGCUAGUUGGUAAGGUAAUGGCUUACCAAGGCAAUGAUACGUAGCCGAACUGAGAUGUUGAUCGGCACAUUGGGACUGAGACACGGCCCAAACGCCUACGGGAGGCAGCAGUAGGGAAUCUUCCACAAUGGACGAAAGUCUGAUGGAGCAACGCCGCGUGAGUGAAGAAGGUUUUCGGAUCGUAAAACUCUGUUGUCAGAGAAGAACGUGUGCGAGAGUAACUGUUCGUGCAGUGACGGUAUCUGGCCAGAAAGCCACGGCUAACUACGUGCCAGCCGCCGCAGUAA
rnacentral:rRNA from 1 species